rnacentral:ncRNA from 1 species
CCUUCGUUAUCAACUCUUCCUAUAAUUGUCAAGCAAAAUUCACUAAGUGUUGGAUUGUUCAUCCACCAAUAAGGAACAUGAGUUAGGUUUAAACCAUUAUAAAACAUGUU